GUGAGAGCGUACACAGGUGCUGCAUGGCUGUCGUCAGCUCGUGUCGUGAGAUGUUGGGUUAAGUCCCGCAACGAGCGCAACCCUGCAUUCAGUUGCCAUCGGUAAGGCCGGGCACUCUGGAUGGACUGCCGGCGACAAGCCGGAGGAAGGUGGGGACGACGUCAAGUCAUCAUGGCCCUUAUGUCCAGGGCGACACACGUGCUACAAUGGCCGGCACAACGGGAAGCGAAGGGGCGACCCUGAGCGGAUCCCACAAAAGCCGGUCUCAGUUCGGAUUGCAGUCUGCAACUCGACUGCAUGAAGUCGGAAUCGCUAGUAAUCGUGGAUCAGCCAAGCCGCGGUGAAUACGUUCCCGGGCCUU
rnacentral:rRNA from 1 species